CCAAUUUAUUUAAAGAUGGUAGGUAAACUAUGUUAUAAUUACAACUAUAAGCAGUAUGUAUUGUGUACAUACAUUUGUACUAGAAGUCUGAUUUUUUUUCAUUUAUCCCUGUUCAGGAGCACCUGAGAGCACCGCGUUUUUUUUUGUGGGAUUGGUUUCCCUUGAUGGACCGCUGUUUAUCUUGUCGUCGUUUCGUAGUUUUCCAAUGCUCGCCG
rnacentral:lncRNA from 1 species